AAAAAUAGAAUAUAAAAACUUCUCUACUCCUGACUCACCAACGCACCAGAACAACUUUUAGUCCUGCAAUCAUGACCAUCCUUCCUUCUCUAACAUUCUGACCUCAUGUAUCAGUAUGCAGAAAAAAACAAGAGCUUCUUCUCGCAGGCAGGAUUGCCAUUGAAGCGGAUGUCAAGAAGGAUGAGUCACUGUUAGGAUUGAUUCAAGAUACUUUAUUGCCAAGCUGCAUUUGCUGAUAGAGUCAACUAUGUCCUGGUAUCCAUGGAACACAGUGGAAGGGAAAUCUGUCCUUGUCAUUACCUGGCCACAGGCCUCUUUUAAAAGAUACUAGAAAAUUAAUUAGACUGAAAAUUCACCCAUAAAAUUAAAGUAAGAGCUACCUGGGCUCAGGGCUCUGAAAGAAGAUAACUUAUUUGGAUCAGAAAAUUUGUCAUGUUCAGCUCAAGUAGCACUAAUUUGUUUAGAAGAGAUAAUGAUAUUUCAUUAUUAUUCCCAACCCUGAAGUUAGUCAAGAAAUAACUAAAAUAAAUACCUUGUAAAUACUGACUACACAUAAUACUUAUACUCUAUAGCAACAUGACCACACUCAGUAAUCUUGACAAGUUUAGGAAAGCAUUUAAACAAAAUAAAACUUGAGCCAGAUAAACUCUGGAAGUUCUUUAAAAUUAAAUAUAAUAGUUACUGGGUAGAGCGAAUAGAAAACUAGACCAGAAAUAGAAAUUGUGCCUUACUCUUAUAAUUUCAACCAUGACAAUA
rnacentral:lncRNA from 1 species